rnacentral:tRNA from 3 species
GCUGGUGUAGCUCAGUUGGUAGAGCAACUGAUUCGUAAUCAGUAGGUCCGCCGUUCGAGUCGGCGCACCAGCACCA